rnacentral:rRNA from 1 species
CAGUAGCCGCGGGAAUACGGAGGAUCCAAGCGUUAUCCGGAAUCAUUGGGUUUAAAGGGUCCGUAGGCGGUCUUGUAAGUCAGUGGUGAAAGCCCAUCGCUCAACGGUGGAACGGCCAUUGAUACUGCAGGACUUGAAUUAUUGGGAAGUAACUAGAAUAUGUAGUGUAGCGGUGAAAUGCUUAUAGAUUACAUGGAAUACCAAUUGCGAAGGCAGGUUACUACCAAUUGAUUGACGCUGAUGGACGAAAGCGUGGGUAGCGAACAGGAUUAGAUACCCGUGUAGUCCCUGUCUCUUAUAC